UGCCAGACUCCUACGGGAGGCAGCAGUGGGGAAUAUUGCACAAUGGGGGAAACCCUGAUGCAGCGACGCCGCGUGAGUGAAGAAGUAAUUCGUUAUGUAAAGCUCUCUCAGCAGGGAAGAAAAUGACGGUACCUGAGUAAGAAGCCCCGGCUAACUACGUGCCAGCAGCCGCGGUAAUACGUAGGGGGCGAGCGUUAUCCGGAUUUACUGGGUGUAAAGGGAGCGCAGACGGCAGUGCAAGUCUGGAGUGAAAGCCCGGGGCCCAACCCCGGAACUGCUCUGGAAACUGUGCGGCUAGAGUACUGGAGGGGCAAGCGGAAUUCCUAGUGUAGCGGUGAAAUGCGUAGAUAUUAGGAGGAACACCAGUGGCGAAGGCGGCCUGCUGGACAGUAACUGACGUUGAGGCUCGAAAGCGUGGGGAGCAAACAGGAUUAGAUACCCCCGUAU
rnacentral:rRNA from 1 species